rnacentral:rRNA from 1 species
AUGGCAGCAAUCCAACACCGUCCGCUCCUCAUGUGCACGAUCCACACCACCCAUUACCAACAUGCCUGCACAACCACCCACCACACCACCUGCCACACACGGACGCAGUCCACACACACCCACGUGUCGUCUCCCUUAUCCUCACACACACACACCAGCCACCAACCACCCACGCACACACAAUGCCACCAGCCACCAACCACCCAUGCACACACAUGCCACCAGCCACCAACCACCCAUGCCCACGGCGAGCGAAGCGGACGGCGACUGGCGGCAGGGAGCACGGCAGCCGGCGCGCGGGAGCAUGGCUUGGCGGCGGCACGGGCUAGGGCAGCAGCUGCCGCGUCGGAGCGUCGCUGGGCUGCGACGGCCGCGGCGGAGCGCGGUGGGGCCACAGCGUGGGCGUACGUGGUCGGGCGCCGGCACGGCGAGCAGGGCCUGGCGACUGCGGGAUCCUCUUCCCCAUCCUGCCGCGGACCUCCCCUCCUCUGCGCUCACGCUUGA